rnacentral:lncRNA from 1 species
CUUUAUAUUAAGUAUCUUAGCUCGUUCUAUAUAUAUAUAUUGACGGAUCGGGUUUUGUAGAAGAAAAAGGAUCAUCAAAAGGUACAUAAAUGUUUGUAUUUAAUCGAACCCUUUACCUAUUUUUUCGUUUUUCAAGAUUUUAAAUGUGAUUUUCUUGAUAGAAACCAGGAUACUGAAUGUGGGAUUUGUUUGAUUUAUGAUGUGAUUCUCUGGUCAAUCAUUCUCUUUUGAUUAACUAUUUUCCGUUUUUGAAUUGAUUUCUCAUGUUAAAUGCUUUUCUUAGACGCCUAUCUAUUCAACUUUUUGAUUUUUCAAAAAGUAGAAACUGAAAAUUCUUAGCACUUUCUUUUUCUUCUUUCUAAUAAGUUAAUAUAAUGCAAAAUGGUAUUCAUUUUCGAAUUCAAAGAAAAUCCAUCAUUUCUGAUAUAUUUCUGCAUUUUAAUCGCAGUAGGAUAUCCGUCGACUGUGAGUUGUGCGUAUCGACCCGUGAAGUACUGUAACCAACGCGUUAACCAUCUCGCCUAGAGACCUUUGAAGCUUAAGAGUUUAGACCGAGAUUGUGGAUUUCUUUCGGUAAAUGCGUAGGAAAAUUCGAAUAAUCAAGCCAUCAAGAUCGAAAUAUACUUCAAGUUAAUCGGGAUUAAGAUCGACUCACUCCAAAAAAAGCACGGCAUCUAUCGUUUAAAUGAGCAUGGAAUAGCCCGAAUGGAGUCUGGCAUUGCUGAAAGGUUUGAUUAAUCUUCAAGUUCAGUGCUUAAACAGCAUCAUGAAGGUAAGAGCAGCAAAACGUCCUAGUAUCCUUAACAAGAGUGGCGCCCAUUUGGUUGAAUUAAGGAAAUCAGAUAGUUUUGGAUCAUCGUCGAAAGAACACGGGAAAAGAAUGUUCCGGUAUUUUACGUUGGAAUCGCUGUUGCUGCUCGUCUGCAUCACGGCGUCGUUACUGAUCUUGCCGCUCGUACUUCCGCCAUUGCCGCCUCCACCCUUUAUGCUGCUUCUGGUUCCUAUUUGCUUGCUUGUACUUCUUAUCGUAUUGGCUUUCAUGCCUAGUAAUUUCCAGAAUGUGACCUAUUCAUGAGUAUAAUUGGGAUGGAAACUGCCAUCAAACAUAUAUAUAGCAAAGUUCGUUGAUUUCUUAUUGAAAUAUACCUAAUCUUCAUGAUCUAAAUUAAGCAAAUCACAGUUUGAAAUAGCUUUUUGUUCAUCUUUUGAUUAUAUGUUGCAAGUAAUGAAC